rnacentral:rRNA from 1 species
AUGGAGAAUUCCUCCUCUACUGCUUGUACUCCCGAGAACGAGGUUCUCAACUUUAAACAAAGGGGAGGAGAAAGUUUAAAAGAUUUUUGGUAUAGAAUUUGCAAUGCUCAUAAUAGAUCUAUCCGUAAGCAAUCUACCACUGUGCUUAUGCGCUGUAUUUUUGUUGAUAUCAUCACUUGGUAUAGAUUCGUCCUUGAUACGAUUACCGGUGGAAAUUUCUUAAUGAGUUCUCCUUUUGAUGCUCUUAAUGCUAUGGAAAAUUUAGUGGGCUCACCACCUCUUAUGGUUAAUGAAAUAAUUUUAACUCUUGAGCAUGUUAUGAAAAGACUAGAUGCUAUUGAAAAGAAAAUGCUCACUGAAGAUUAUAUGGAAAUUAUACAUAGAAAGAUGCAUAAUUUUGCCACUAUUCUUGGAUCAAAAGCAGGCAAUAUUUUUAAGUUGUUAAAACAAAGGGGUACUUUAAUCCAUGAAAGAAUAGAAGAAGGUCCGUGUCGGAUCGAUAAAUUGGAAGAAAUCUUUAGUAAUCUAAGAACAACUUUUACUACCACUAAAAUUAUUGAGGAAACUCUCUUAAAGAGUAGGAUAUCCAAAAAUAAGGGUGCAACUCCUAGUGAUAGCAAUAAAGGAGAUCUUAAGAUGAUUAGUAUCCAUUCUGAUUUUGUUGAAAUGAUAAAAGAUCAUUUUUGCAAGAAUGAAAUCUUUGAAUUUAUUCCUAGGAGUGUUGUUAUUGAAAAUCUUUAUGCUAAAUCUUUGAGGGAUUCUAAGUGUUUGCUUGAAGAGUUGGACAAGGAUGACAAAACUUAG